ACUUGAGUAGGACACCUAGGAUGCAGCUGCUGUGUGUUUUUCCAAUUUACAAGGACAAUCAUGAGGGAAAGAGCACUGUGUUGGGAGCCUAAAGAUGUGGCUCCCUGCCACCAACCACUUAUGCAAACUUUGGCAAUCAGAUGGAGUUUCACUCUUGUUGCCCAGACUGGAGUGCUAUGGCAUGAUCUUGGCUCACUGCAACCUCCACUUCCCAGGUUCAAGCAAUUCUCCUUCCUCAGCCUCCCAAGUAGCUGGGAUUACAGGCACUCGCCACCAUACCCAGCUAAUUUUUUGUAUUUCUAGUAGAGAUAAGGUUUCACCAUGUUGGUCAGGCUGGUCUCAAACUCCUGACCUCAGGUGAUCCACUCGCCUUGGCCUCCCAAAGUGCUGGGAUUACAGACAUGAGCCACCGUACCCAGCCUACGGUCUCUUUUAUAAGGGCUCUAAUCCCAUUCACGAAAUCUCCACCUUCAUGAUCUAAUCACCUCCCAAAUGCUGCACCUCCUAAAACCAUAGCAUUGGGGAUUUGGAAUUUGAUGUAUGAAUUUCAAGGAGACACAAACAUUCAGACCAUGACAAUAAUACUUAAUAAAUACUGGUUGAGUGAAAAAAAGAGAAGGAACUGCUUUCCCCUGGUGUCCUGGCACCAACCAUCUGUCAUUGUCCUUCAGAAGCAUCGGCUUCUGAACAAUGAGCCACUAAACAGACGCAGUUUACAGAUGUCAGCAGCUGGCAACAACUCAACGCCACCCUGGAAAGGAAGCUCAAUGAAUAGGUGCCUGGCCUUUUGUGUGUUUUCAGUUCUCUUAAGCAUAGGAUGAAUAUUCAAGCCUGGAAAAACCAUGCUAAUAACAAAUGUAAAUCAUCUGGGCCUAACAUCCAUGGUGCUGAGAAACUUCAAGCCGAAACUUCAAGUGGAAAGGUCCAGCUGCUCUUGGAAGGACCAAAGGACCUGCCCCCAGGAGGUUCUUUCUUAACCCACAGUGGAUUGAGCUUCCAGACACCCUGACAAUUCCAGGAGAUCCCUGCUGUCAGGGUCUUUCUAUGUUGCCCAGGCU
rnacentral:lncRNA from 10 species